UUGACAGACUUUGUCAUAUUUAUUCUGGAGGAACAAGAGAAACGGCACAUUUCUACAAGCAUGACAAAAAGCUGAGAAAUGAUUGAAAACAGAGAGAGAGCCGGCCGACGUUCCCUCUGGACUCAGCUUAAAUAAAUUACUUGUUAAAAUAGAUAUAAUUUCACAUUCCGGUAACGACCUUGAGGGACUGCCCGGUGGGAAACUGGACCCUGCCAAACCCCCGGUACUCUGGAAAAGACGGCGUUAAUGUCGAGAAAUUACUCCUCGCUCCUCUGGGAAAUUCACAGUGUAUUUUAUCUCUUUGAUUUUCUUUUUGUCUCAUUCUUUCCUUGGCCGCCGCAGCGCUGUUGUUGUUGAGAAUACCGUUAACUCAGCUCAGCGUUCAAAUUGAUUGUGUGAGUCACAAAUGAAAUUUCCCACCCUGGCGGCGCUCCGAGGCCCAUCGUUCCUCGACGGUCUGAGCCUUAAUGGACCCGGAGGAAGAGGGGAAAAAACCCGACGAGGUCCAAACCUUUGAACUCCUCUGUUUUAUGUCCUCACCUGCUCGGUUUGCAGCUGAUUUACUUAACGGGGAUGUUGAGUCUCACACGCGGCCUCGUAAAGCCGAGAGUUGACCAACCACCACAGUUGUGAGUCAGCGCCCAGAGGUUCUGGUGAAAACAAACAUCAGCACUUCAGCAGCUGCUCGUUCAUGACACCUGAAAUCCAUUUUAUCUACACAUCUGUAUAUUUACUUUGAGGUACUUCUGCUGCUUUAUUCUUCCACUUCACUACAUUUGGAGGCGAGUCUUCCCCGGACCAACAUGGCGGCGACGUUGACGUACCGGCUUCCCUGACGUCACAUCGUUGCAGGUGAAAGUCACAAAGACAGACGAGGCGGUUAAACUCUCCACUGACGGCCAACCUGCGGACUCACCUGCGGACUCACCUGCGGACUCACCUGCGGACUGAGGCGGCGGAGCAGCGCCAGGUGCACGGCCGCGAUCACUGCGUGUUGUCCGGCUGAGGCGUGUUCAGCAGCCCCCUGGUGGAGAGGAGAGUUUUUACGAGCAGACUAACUCUCAGAACCACCAGAACGCCACAUCGGGUUCAUCCGCCGACACCUGAGCCACCGCAGACGCCUCUCUGUUUGCUUUGGCUGAACAAAGAGAUGUGGGGAGGUUUCAGGAGAAACACCUCGAGCUAAACUGGAAACACAUCAGGUCCAAUCAGCGAUUAACGAGGGCAGAUCAUCUGUAAAUCAAGAAGGAAGUGAAGAUGUCGACUGGUUAGA